rnacentral:lncRNA from 1 species
GACCCUAUAGGGUAUUGGGUCCAAGUUUUCAACUAGGAACUGUAAGAUCUGAUGGGUCUACAGGUCUUAGCUUGGAUUGGGUAUAGAUUGGAUUAAGCCUAGAUCCUGGUACCUAACAGACGUACUUGUCCAAAACUACAGAUAAUGAGGAGAAGAAAAAUGAGAUAAUAAUAAAAGAAUAUUAUUGGUGAGACAAUGGUGAUCGAAAUUAAGUUGUGGUCUGCAGGUGGUACAAAUCGGGAAGGUGGAAAAACUUAAGUUUAUCAAUAUAUUUAUGGAGUAUGAGUCAAAAUAAAAUUUAUAAACUAUAUUAUGAAAUAUAUGGUAAAUUAUCAAAUCUGAGUCAAGUGUGGUAUGUGUUUACUAGACUGGGAUCCAGAGUAGCAAAACUUGAGGGAAUAUCUUACGACUCAUGCCUGAUGUAACGCCCACAUUUUCUAGAUCGCGUUCAAGUCAUAUAUAGGUGUGUUCCAGGUCAGGGUCGAUCAGGUCUAUUAGUCCAACCGACAGCCUUAGUAGGUUGUAGGUCUGCUAGUGAGUUCUUUUGAACUUUCUUAAGAUAUGGAGUUAGGAUGGCAAAAGCUUAAACUUAUUCAACGAUGCCAGGGACAAGGAUUGGGAAAGCAAUAGUUCAAGGAAUUCAAUAUAUUGAGGAAUUGACUUGAGGGAUCUCAAUUUCUGUGGGAAUUUAAUUGCGAUGAGAAAGACCUAGACUUUGAGAUAUCUAGGUGGGAUUGGCUGUAUGUAUGAAGGAGGCCAUCUAAACUACAAUCUCCAACUGCUUAUUCCCUAGGAAAAUUUCUAGAGUACUACUACCGAUCACCUGUUAAUCAUCAUCGCUUAGUUCACCCAAGACAUGGAGUCGGAGAUUGAUGCCAGACAUGGCAGGGUCUGUGGUGUCAAUUGACCCCUACCUGCACUCAACUAACCAUCGACUUUUUAUCCUGCGGUGAACUCAACAGUGAUUAGCUGUGGGUUAUCUAUAGCUUUUUCCAUGAUCUCCAUGAUGUUUAGCCACAACCUCCUCAAGCAUUAUCCUUAUUACUAGAUGUUGCCGCCGAAUCUCGAAUGAGGUCAGAGUACAGCCCGAACAACUCUAAGGUCAGUUGGAGACGAGCUGAGUAAACUAGCUGAGGUGCACGGGGCGGAAAAUCCUCCGAUGCCUAAGUUAGAAUAAUGCGGCAACAAUAUAGAAAAGAGAGAAUUUCAGCAGAGUGCGGUCUUUGUGAGUAAUAUUGCAUGCGUACCUAAAGUCCCCCAAGCUCCCCCUUUAUAUAGAAAAGAUCAUUUUGUCGUUGCCUGACCUGACAUAAAGUACAAUGAUAGCCAAGUAACAGCCGGUAGUACGGACAAGGCGAGAGUGCUAGUCUGCAUAGGCGGUGGAAAGUGUUGGUAGGGCGCAGACCAUAGUACUAUCUGACCGUGGGCUGCUAGAGCUGUCGGUUAUUGGAAACUGUCAACCCUUGUUGACACAUACUGAUUGUUCUUAUUGGCUGAUCGACUUGUUGGCUAGAGCCAAGAUAGCUCACUUUGGUUGGUCAGCUGCUCGACUGGGCUAAGGUUGUUCUUCUCGGCUUACGUCCAAGAUCAAGAGGGUAGACCUGGCCCAAGGUCAAGGUGUCCAGUACUUCUCCUAACACAUGCCCCACACUUCUGAGGCCAAACUGCCUUCUGGUUCGAGCAGCGGAAGUCAAAUCAUCACUUCAAUAGAGGUAGAGACUUUUGUCAUGGAAAAUAAAUGUGUUGAUCUAUCUUCUCGAAGCAACGCCGAAUCUAGAGUUUCUCGAGGCAUCAUCAUUGUGGGGUUCUCUUCGAGAAAUUAUUACUGCAACAAUCCUGGCGAAUCGUUGCUUUGUGUCCUAGGCUAACACGUGGCAUGAUUUGCCCUAGUAGUUGAA